UGGGGAAUUUUGGACAAUGGGCGCAAGCCUGAUCCAGCCAUGCCGCGUGCGGGAAGAAGGCCUUCGGGCUGUAAACCGCUUUUGUCAGGGAAGAAAUCUUCUGAGUUAAUACCUCGGGAGGAUGACGGUACCUGAAGAAUAAGCACCGGCUAACUACGUGCCAGCAGCCGCGGUAAUACGUAGGGUGCAAGCGUUAAUCGGAAUUACUGGGCGUAAAGCGUGCGCAGGCGGUUUUGUAAGACAGAGGUGAAAUCCCCGGGCUCAACCUGGGAACUGCCUUUGUGACUGCAAGGCUUGAGUGCGGCAGAGGGGGAUGGAAUUCCGCGUGUAGCAGUGAAAUGCGUAGAUAUGCGGAGGAACACCGAUGGCGAAGGCAAUCCCCUGGGCCUGCACUGACGCUCAUGCACGAAAGCGUGGGGGGCAAACAGGGUUAGAUACCCUGGUAGUGCCACGCCCUAAACGAUGUCAACUGGUUGUUGGGAAGGUUCCUUCUCAGUAAACGUAGCUAACGCGUGAAGUUGACCGCCUGGGGAGUACGGCCGCAAGGUUGAAACUCAAAGGAAUUGACGGGGUCAUA
rnacentral:rRNA from 1 species